rnacentral:rRNA from 1 species
AGGUAGCAUAAUCAAUUGUCUUUUAAUUAAAGGCUUGAAUGAACGGUUGGACGAGGUAUUGACUUUCUUUUAAUUAUUUAAUUAAUUUAAUUUUUAAGUUAAAAAGCUUAAUUUUUUUUAUGGGACGAGAAGACCCUAUAGAUCUUUAUAUUUAUAAAGUUUAAAUUUUUUAGUUUUAUUUUUUGUUUGAUCUUUUAUGUAUUUAAUUGGGGUGAUUGAAGAAUUUUUUUAACUUCUAAUGUUUUUUUUUCAUUUAUUUAUGUUUUAUUGAUCCAUAUUAAUGAUUAUAAGAUUAAGUUACCUUAGGGAUAACAGCGUAAUUCUUUUGGAGAGUUCUUAUCGAUAAAUGAGUUUGCGACCUCGAUGUUGGAUUAAAUUAAGUUUUAGGUGUAGUGGCUUAUUAACUGGGUCUGUUCGACCUUUAAAAUUUUACAUGAUCUGAGU